rnacentral:tRNA from 1 species
GUCCUCGUAGCUCAGUGGAUAGAGCAACCGCCUCCUAAGCGGUAGGUCGCAGGUUCAACUCCCGCCGAGGACACGA